AUACGAAGGGGGCUAGCGUUGCUCGGAAUCACUGGGCGUAAAGCGCACGUAGGCGGCUUCUUAAGUCAGGGGUGAAAUCCUGGAGCUCAACUCCAGAACUGCCUUUGAUACUGGGAAGCUUGAGUUCGGGAGAGGUGAGUGGAACUGCGAGUGUAGAGGUGAAAUUCGUAGAUAUUCGCAAGAACACCAGUGGCGAAGGCGGCUCACUGGCCCGAUACUGACGCUGAGGUGCGAAAGCGUGGGGAGCAAACA
rnacentral:rRNA from 1 species